CUAAUUUAAUUCAAAACUCGUACGAAAAUUCGGUUUGGUUUUCGCGUUUCGUUCUAGUUGUUUAAUCGUGUUUCAUAUGCAAGUCCUAAGUCUUUCACGAUAUGGGUCAUACUGUUUUUGGGCUUGCUCCUCCUCACGCACAUACUUCAGAGAUAUCUUAUUUCAAACCUGUUUCAAUAUGAUUUAGUAAUAUUUUAAAAUAAAAAAGUUAUGCCAUAUAAUUGUCACAACAGAAUUUAUUCGUAUUACAUAAUAUAUUCGUUU